rnacentral:lncRNA from 1 species
AGACCAGGUCCGGAUGCUGCGAGUGCUGCGCCUGUCCCGGGACCCUCGACCGGGCGACUCCCCCGGGGCGGGGGUGGCGUGUGGUCUCUAGACAACUGAGGGAAAGUAGACAGACCGUGCUCACCGAUUUAAAAGAACAGCCCUGAAAUGACCCCCGUUACACCCUGUUCUCUUUAGACAAGUUACUUCCACCUGGAGCGGUUUCUGGGCCCGGGUAUGGGGAUUUCUUCACCCGGCCCCCUAGGCUUUCACCUCGGUGGAAUUUCCCGCGCCCCCGCUGGGAUGAUUUAGGGACUGUUGGCUAGAACUGCCCUUGCCUACCGCCCUACUGCGGGCGCUCCCCUGUCUGGGGGGUGCUUGGCUGGGUGUGGAGAAGGAUCAAUCACAGCUGACUCCUCAGAGGUGACAGCCCCUGCCCCCUUAAAAACAAGAAAAGACCUAGCAGUGUGAAGCCAAACUGCACCCCCAGCCCCGGUGACAUGAGGAAACCGUGAGGCGCUCAGCCUGAGGUUCAUCGUUCAUCUCCUUCCUGCUUGGAAUCAGAAUGUCCUCACUGCUGAGUUUCUCCGUUUUAUGGGAUUACAUUAGUGGACAAAGGAGGUGUGUGUGUGUGUUGCUAUAUUUUAUUCAAGCAGAAAAAAACUACCAAAGGAACCUGAAGAUGAUAAUAAUAGCUCACAUCUAUAGAGUGCUUACACAGUGCAGGGCUCUGUUCUAAAUCUCUGUACUUAGAUUUCCUUAUUCAAUCCUCAGGGCAACCCUGUAAAUUGGAAAAUACUGCAUCAUCAUCAUCAUUAUUAUUAUUAUCUCGCUCUGUCACCCAGGCUGGAGUGCAGUGGUGUGAUCACAGCUCAGUGCAACCUCCAACUCCUGGGCUCAAGUGAUUCUCCUGACUACAGGAAGUCCCAGCCGGAAACACAGAAAGGAUAUGGAGAAAAUUAUUAUUCUGCCCCUACAGUUUCGGUGACCCAGAUGGGAUCUCUGGGACACCCUGCCUGCUCUACAAUUGGGAUCCCUGGAAAAGUGACAGAAUCUGGCAACAGAUGAGUAAGAAAGGUCACUUCCUGGCAGACCUCAGGUAUAUUGGGGACAUCAAGAAAAGAAUAAUUCAUCAAAGUCUACAGAUAUUGCAGGCAAAGUUGAAACAAGCCAGACAAGUUCUCUUUGUAUUCUUGAGAGACUUGGAAAGUCUAACCUGAGAUUCCUUAUUAAAAGUUCCAGCAAAACAGA